rnacentral:lncRNA from 7 species
AUGCACUGCUUUCUCUCUAUUUCUUGCCAUCCACUCCUUCCUUCGAGUUAUUCUUUACUUUUUGACUUGGCUUUUUUCUUCUUUUCUCUUUACCUUUCUUCUCUUGUCAUUAUUCGUUUUUCCUUUUGUUUUUUCUUUUUUCAUCUACUGUUUUUUCUUUUCUUUUUUUCUUUUUUUCUUUUUUUCUUUUCUGUCCUCUUUUUUAUUUCUAUUUCUUUUUUCUUUUCUCUUUUCUUUAUCUUUUUUCUUUUUUUAUCUUUUCUCUUUUUUCUCUUUUUUGUUCAUGUUCUUUUUUUCUUUUCUCUUUUUUCUCUUUUUUUCAUUUUUCUCUUUUUACUCUUUUUUGUUCAUUUUUUUUUUUUUCUUUUCUCUUUUUUCUCUUUUUUUCAUUUUUUUCUCUUUUUUCUCUUUUUUGUUCAUUUUUUUUUUCUUUUCUUUUUCUCUUUUUUCAUUUUUUCUCUUUUUACUCUUUUUGUUCAUUUUUUUCUUUUUUCUUUUCAUUUUUUCUCUUUUUCUUAUUUUUCUUUCUUUUUUCUCUUUUUUCAUAUUUUUUGUUCUUAUUUUUUCUUUUCUUUUUUCAUCAUAGGUUUGCCUUCAGCCCUCCCCUCAGCCCUUCCCUCCGCUCUGCUCUUCACCCAUCCCCUCCCCAUCCCCAUCCCUUCUUUCUCCCUUACCCCCCCUUUCCCCUUGCCUUUGCCUCCCAUUACCUUGCCUGCCCUUCACUUACCUUCUCCUCACUUCCUGCUUCUUGAUGCUCUGGGCUUUUGCUGCUACUCACGCCAAACCUCAACACUUGCCUACUCUGCUUGCUGCUCUGCCAAGUUGCUCUCUACUCUGCUCGCAGCUUCACGCCUACUGCCUGCCCUUCUCUAUCCCCUUCUCGUGCCCUUCAGGCUUUUCCUCCCCUUGCUGAGCAAGGCCAUGCCCGGUAGCUACCCUUGAACCUCCUCCGCCCUUUGCCUUCCUCCACAGAGAUGCUUGCUUCUGGCCAGCACUCCUGCCCGGUGCCUAGCCCACACACCUCAUCUCUUGGGGAGAUAGCAAGGUGGCCUGUAGCUACCCACACCUCCUCCCGGGCAUGGCUUCUCAGCUUUGCUUCAAGCCCAGAACCCAAAGGAGCUCCUCUUACCUUUUGGCCCACGUUCUUCUCCUC